rnacentral:piRNA from 1 species
UGCCAGGUACCUCACGUCCAUGACGAAUAC